CUAUAUUCUGGAGGAGUGCUGCCUGAGAACACGCGUGCAUUUGGAAGCUUGAUGCUCUUAGAAUACACUUGUGUUCUCAGGUCACCCCUUUAGAAAAUAG
rnacentral:miRNA from 1 species